rnacentral:rRNA from 1 species
GACGAACGCUGGCGGCGUGCUUAACACAUGCAAGUCGAACGGUAAGGCCCUUCGGGGUACACGAGUGGCGAACGGGUGAGUAACACGUGGGUGAUCUGCCCUGCACUUCGGGAUAAGCCUGGGAAACUGGGUCUAAUACCGGAUAGGACCACUGCCUGCAUGGGUGGUGGUGGAAAGCUUUUGCGGUGUUGGAUGGGCCCGAGGCCUAUCAGCUUGGUGGGGGGGUGAUGGCCUACCAAGGCGACGACGGGUGGCCGGCCUGAGAGGGUGAGCGGCCACGCUGGGACUGAGAUACGGCCCAGACUCCUACGGGAGGCAGCAGUGGGGAAUAUUGCACAAUGGGCGCAAGCCUGAUGCAGCGACGCCGCGUGAGGGAUGACGGCCUUCGGGUUGUAAACCUCUUUCAGCACCGACGAAGAGCAAGUGACGGUAGGUGCAGAAGAAGGACCGGCCAACUACGUGCCAGCCGCCGCCGUAA